rnacentral:tRNA from 1 species
ACAUUGGUGGUUCAGUGAUGGAAUUCUUGCCUUCCAAGCAAGAGACCCGGAUUUGAUUUCUGGCCAAUGCA